GCUGCUGCUGCUGCUGCUGCUACUACUACUCGCGGCUGGUGAUGCUCGAAGGAAUGAAACAAUCUAUACUGGAGAACGAGCGGAUUCUUUUAUAAGCGGAGGAAUUUAUGCGUUUUCACUUCUCUCAUAUCAAUAUGAAUUCAUGGAAAUCUUGUACGAGAUGCAUCCCAUGUGGACUUCAAUUCGCCUCAGCAAGGCGGUUCGAAAAACACGUUGCGAAUCACAGAAGGCCUUUUAGAUUAUAUAUGUCCGCAUUGCAUGUAUGAGGACAGCGAUAUUUUUGCUGUAAAUAAUCAUAUUUUGACGCACAUAAAAUCUUCUACGACGGCAGCAAGCAGUCGACAGACGGGAUCGAGAAAGCGACAAAACGACGCAUACCCUUUUAAAGAGAUAGCUGCAUUUAAGGGAUAUGUCAGAACAUAUCGACAUAGAAAUAACAAGAAAAAUGCUCCGUAUCGUACAUUAAUGGAAUAUUUUUCAGAAAACAAGCGUUGUAUUUAUGGCAUUAUUAAACAAUGCUUAAAUGACUACAAAUCCGUAAAAAUUCAA